ACUAAUUUGGCAGAUAUAUAAGUGCAAUAAAUUUAGGAUUUAUUUAUAUUGUUUAAUACAUUAAUUAGUA
rnacentral:tRNA from 1 species